rnacentral:rRNA from 1 species
UACGAAGGGGGCUAGCGUUGUUCGGAAUCACUGGGCGUAAAGCGCACGUAGGCGGCUUUCUAAGUCAGGGGUGAAAUCCUGGAGCUCAACUCCAGAACUGCCUUUGAUACUGGGGAGCUCGAGUCCGGAAGAGGUGAGUGGAACUCCGAGUGUAGAGGUGAAAUUCGUAGACAUUCGGAAGAACACCAGUGGCGAAGGCGGCUCACUGGUCCGGUACUGACGCUGAGGUGCGAAAGCGUGGGGAGCAAACAGG